rnacentral:piRNA from 1 species
UCGAGGUGGAUGCAGAAGAGGCCAGGU